rnacentral:rRNA from 1 species
ACCGCCUUGGGAUAGGCUUGCGUCUGAUUAGCUAGUUGGUGUGGUAAUGGCACACCAAGGCUACGAUCAGUAACUGGUCUCGAGAGGAUGAUCAGUCACACUGGAACUGAGACACGGUCCAGACUCCUACGGGAGGCAGCAGUGAGGAAUAUUGGGCAAUGCACGAAAGUGUGACCCAGCAACGCCGCGUGGAGGGAUGAAGGUAUUCUAUAUCGUAAACUCCUGUGAGAGCAGACGAAAGACAGAUUAUUAAUUUGGAUGACUGUAUGCUCAGAGGAAGCCCCGGCUAACUACGUG